CAGGUUAACAUCCCCAGUGGACUGAUCGAUCUCACUUUCGAGUUGAGAAGCUUCUACAAUCAUACGAAUGUAUCUGAGUUUAACCCCUGCAGCUACGCCUUCAUUGCAGAGCAAGACCGGUUCAAUUUUAACUCUUCUAGUUUUGAACAACUGAAAGGCAUUGAACGGCUUCCAAUGGUUCUUAAUUGGGCCAUUGUGAAUGACACAGAUCCCUGCGAUGAGGCUCAGAACAGGAAGGGUUCCGCAUGCAAGGCUAAUAGCAAGUGCUUCAACCCAGCUAUCAAUGAGUCUGUAGGUUACUUGUGCCAGUGCUUGCCUGGUUAUGAAGGAAACCCGUACCACCCAGAUGGUUGCAAAGGUGAAAAAUUAUCUUUGAUUUACCUAUUCAGCUACUAUUAUAUCAAUAUAAAUUAAUUAAAGCUCUCACCAUUGGAAGUGCAAGUUUACCAAAUUUAGUGAUGUCUGAUACGCUUUUCCUUUCCUAAUUUCCCUUUCAGAUAUUGAUGAGUGCAAAGACCCAAAC
rnacentral:lncRNA from 1 species